AUAUCAAUAAGCGGAGGAAAAGAAACUAACAAGGAUUCCCUUAGUAGCGGCGAGCGAAGCGGGAAGAGCUCAAAUUUGAAAGCUGGCGUCCUACGGGCGUCCGCAUUGUAAUCUAUAGAGGCGUUUUCUGUGCUGGACCGUGUCCAAGUCCCUUGGAACAGGGUAUCAAAGAGGGUGAGAAUCCCGUCUUUGAUCCAGAUGUAGCCUUCUAUGUGAUACGUCUUCAAAGAGUCGGUUUGUUUGGGAAUGCAGACCAAAAUGGGCGGUAAAUUCCAUCUAAAGCUAAAUAUUGGCGAGAGACCGAUAGCGCACAAGUA
rnacentral:rRNA from 1 species